ACUCAAAUGAAUAGACGGGGACUCGCACAAGCGGUGGAUUAUGCGGCUUAAUUCGUCGGCAAACGAAGAACCUUACCAAGGUUAGAAAUCCAGCUGCAUCCUUGCCGAAAGGUGAGGAGCCUUCGAGGGUGCUGGACAGGUGAUGCAUGGUCGUCGUCAGUUCGUGGUUUGAACUGUUCCCUUCAGUGGGGUAACGAACGCAACCCACGUUGUCUGUUGCCUACGGGCCAGGCGAGACUGCUCCCUCACGGGAGAGGAAGGUGUGGAUGACGCCAGAUCAGCAUGUCCCUCUGAUACCUUGGGCUGCACGCAUAAUACAAUGGUAGGCCUACAACGAGAUGCAAUACGGUAACGUGGAGCGAAUCUUUAAAACCUACCCCAGUACGGAUUGAGGUCUGCAACCGACCUCAUGAAGCCGGAAUCGCUAGUAAUCGCGGGUCAGCUAAACCGCGGUGAAUACGUUCUCGAGUCUUGUACACACCGCCCGU
rnacentral:rRNA from 1 species